rnacentral:lncRNA from 1 species
AAAAUUAAAACCCCCCUCUUUGAAAACAACAUCAACGGGAAAUCCUCUAACUCUUCACUCUUCAUCUUCUUGGGAACAAAAUAAUCUUCUUCUAUAUACUCCUACAUCUUCCUUUUAUUCACUCUAUUAAAUUUUUAUUUUUUUAUAUAUAAACUCAAAUAUAGUGAUAACAUUUUUUGUAUUCUCCUCAAAGCAUUGAGAAUUACGGAUUUUGCAAGAGGAAUCCUUCGAGUAGUAUCCUAGCUAGAUGGAGAUGGACAAGAAGGAAAAGAUGGAUUUUGCAAAGAUUGAUCAUUUUGGAUUGUUUGAUGAUGUUUUAUGGGACUUUGUUGGUACGAGGUAUGGUUUUGAGGAGUACUAGGAUCAAUAGAUCUUAUUUGUGGUGGAGAAUUCAUCACUAUGGCGUACAUGGGAAAGCCAGGCAUUUUUUUCAUUUUCAUGAUCUUGUUAUUUAAUUUCUAUAUAGACAUAGUUUAUUUUAUUUGCAAUUUACUCUUGUUGGUUUAGUAAUAUGGGUUUUGAUUUCCAAUAAUAGUUUAAGAACACAUUUUUAAACGGCUUUUAGGAUAUAUAUAUUAUCAAUGAUCAUCAAAUUAAAUCAUUGAAAUAAAAUUCGUGGCUGGUUUUCCUAGUCCCUCUUCAUUUGAAUUAUUGCUCUCUCUCUCUCUCUCUUAUACUUUUUUUUUGUGUAACAAAUUAUUACUACUAUAUAUUAUAUAGUAGAUUAUGCAAAUAUGAAAGGAGAUUAUUUGUGUUUUAAUUUGUUUCAGUUUUGAAUGAUGAGAAUGGUAAUUAGGGAUUUUUUUUCUUUCAUUGAUCAAUGUUUCUUGUUUGGAUUAAUAUGAUUAUUAUAAGAAUAAUGUUAUGACCAAUGUGCAAGUCAUUUUGGAAAAUUGUACAUAAUAGAGAAAUGGUAAAACAUUCCUAUUUCUAUUUCAAGCCUAAACUUCGUUUUCAUGAUAUGCUACCUAAUUUUCCUGCAUUUGUUUGUAGGUAACACGGCAAAUCAUGUCACAUCAAUUUCUCUUAUUAUUUAUAUUCAUUUUCUAUUAUUUUCCUCACCCACCAAAUUAAUAUGAUAAAAAAAUAAUUUAAUUGCUGUGUUGAUUGGUAUGGAUAUUGUAAUAGAAUUUCUGAAAGCAUUGUUUA